rnacentral:rRNA from 1 species
UACAGAGGUGGCAAGCGUUGUUCGGAAUUACUGGGCGUAAAGGGCGCGUAGGCGGCCUUCUAAGUCAGACGUGAAAUCCCCCGGCUUAACCUGGGAACUGCGUCUGAUACUGGGAGGCUAGAGUAUGGGAGAGGGAUGUAGAAUUCCAGGUGUAGCGGUGAAAUGCGUAGAUAUCUGGAGGAAUACCGGUGGCGAAGGCGGCAUCCUGGACCAUAACUGACGCUGAUGCACGAAAGCUAGGGGAGCAAACAGG